UACGGAGGGUGCGAGCGUUGUCCGGAUUUAUUGGGUUUAAAGGGUGCGUAGGUGGCUUUUUAAGUCAGUGGUGAAAUACAGCCGCUCAACGGUUGAGGUGCCAUUGAUACUGAAGAGCUUGAAACAAGUGGAGGCUGCCGGAAUGGAUGGUGUAGCGGUGAAAUGCAUAGAUAUCACCCAGAACACCGAUUGCGAAGGCAGGUGGCUACGUUUGAUUUGACACUGAGGCACGAAAGCAUGGGGAGCAAACAGG
rnacentral:rRNA from 1 species